AUAAUUGAUAGAUGGCAUUGUACCCCCAUCAAUUUAUGCCUUUCACCAGGCAGAAAUAUUAAAGUAAUGACUGAAUGACGGAAAUCAGUUGAUGUGAGAUAAAGUGCUCUCUUGUGAUAUUGAUUGUUGAAAUUGAUUGAUAAUGAAUAAUAGCCGAAUCUCUGUAGAAAUAUAAAAUGAACUCUAACUACAAAAUUGUUUAGUAGAUAGAACAACUUUCAUGUUAUCAAGCGCGGAGAACCAUGUACUAUUUUGUUAUUGGGCAUUACACAUAAUGGUAAAUGUCUUAAAAAAAAUCUUUUAAAUUUGAUGAACUUCUAACAAGCAAUUGGCAGAGAAGAAAGGGAUCCGUUUUCAAACUGUGAAUUUGUUAAUUUAUGGAAAGUAUUGGUGAUUUUCUUAUGCGCCUUGCUGAUGGACUCCUUACAAAAUAAUAUCAUUGGAUUGUCUUUGCUAUAUUUGUUAUUCCCUUAAGACACACAUGACAACCAAGAAUUGCUGUUGUCAAAAUUAUUUUUAUUGUUUGCCUGAUGAGAUGAAGACAAGAAAGAGCUUUGGCUGAAAAACGUGAAAAGCAAUGUUUCAAUUCGUUCGUUGAAGUUUGGUGAAGAAGCCAUUAUCUUGAAAGCGAUGUGCUGAUAUAAUCAACAACAACUUGAUUUUCACGUUUGCCAGCGUCAGGAAUACGUUUAAAAAAGGUGCUGUUUCAGUUCAUUGAAAGUUCCGUUUAUUCAAAACCAUUUGAAAUAUGCGACAAGGAGAAAUGCUGUGCGGCGCGUUUCGCAUCAAUAUUCAUUCAAUUGCUUCAAGUUUUGUCACAGCCACAAACGAAGAAUAAUGUUUACGAAGCUCAAAGCCACAUGUCGUGACAAGCUGAUGAAAACGCUUAAGUAUUUGUUCAAGGAUUAUCGACCGUGGGAGUAAUUAUUAAAAUGUUUUUUUUUCUCAUUCCUUUUUUUUUGCUUUAGAUGAUCAUCGUGGUACAAGGCCUGCUCCUUUUCCCUCCC